rnacentral:lncRNA from 1 species
GAGAGGUAUUUUAGUUUUGAGAUGCUUUAUAUUGAAUUUUAUGAUUUUAUCUCGGGUUGAUUAAAUUUUAGUUUUAGUGUUCAUUGUUGAUUUAUCUCUUCAAAUGAGUAGUGGUAUUUAUACAUGAAAUCUCGUCUUCUUGUACGAGUAUAUAAUGAAAGUUUGAAUGAUUUUCAAAACGGUUUUUAAACGGUGGGGUUAGUAUGUUCGUAUUAUGUUUAAUAACAUUUAUUUUUGGGCUAAACUACCAAAUACCCUCUGGACUAUUUCGACUAUCAAAAUGUCCACCCUGGAUUAUUUUUUCAGCCAAUUUAGC